rnacentral:rRNA from 1 species
CCUACGGGAGGCAGCAGUGAGGAAUAGUGGUCAAUGGGCGCGAGCCUGAACCAGCCAAGUAGCGUGAAGGAUGACUGCCCUACGGGUUGUAAACUUCUGUUAUAAAGGAAUAAAGUGAGACACGUGUGCCGUUUUGUAUGUACUUUAUGAAUAAGGAUCGGCUAACUCCGUGCCAGCAGCCGCGGUAAUACGGAGGAUCCGAGCGUUAUCCGGAUUUAUUGGGUUUACAGGGAGCGUAGAGGGGUUGUUAAGUCAGUUGUGAAGGUUUGCGGCUCAACCGUAAAAUUGCCAUUGAUACUGGCAGCCUUUCGUACAGUUGAGGUAGGCGGACUUCGUGGUGUAGCGGUGAACUUCUUCGCUAUCACG